rnacentral:rRNA from 1 species
UACAGAGGUCUCAAGCGUUGUUCGGAUUCAUUGGGCGUAAAGCGCGUGUAGGCGGUCCGGUAAGUCCGCUGUGAAAGUCGGGGGCUUAACCCUCGGAUGCCGGUGGAUACUGUCGGGCUUGAGUACGGAAGAGGCGAGUGGAAUUCCUGGUGUAGCGGUGAAAUGCGCAGAUAUCAGGAGGAACACCAAUUGCGAAGGCAGCUCGCUGGGACGUUACUGACGCUGAGACGCGAAAGCGUGGGGAGCAAACAGG